rnacentral:rRNA from 1 species
CUAAGUUUGAUGGCGACCGGCGCACGGGUGAGUAACACGUAUCCAACCUGCCGACGACUCGGGGAUAGCCUUUCGAAAGAAAGAUUAAUACCCGAUGGCAUAGUUCUUCCGCAUGGUAGAACUAUUAAAGAAUUUCGGUCAUCGAUGGGGAUGCGUUCCAUUAGGUUGUUGGCGGGGUAACGGCCCACCAAGCCUUCGAUGGAUAGGGGUUCUGAGAGGAAGGUCCCCCACAUUGGAACUGAGACACGGUCCAAACUCCUACGGGAGGCAGCAUG